rnacentral:rRNA from 1 species
GACGAACGCUGGCGGCGUGCUUAACACAUGCAAGUCGAACGGAAAGGCCCUGCUUUUGUGGGGUGCUCGAGUGGCGAACGGGUGAGUAACACGUGAGUAACCUGCCCUUGACUUUGGGAUAACUUCAGGAAACUGGGGCUAAUACCGGAUAGGAGCUCCUGCUGCAUGGUGGGGGUUGGAAAGUUUCGGCGGUUGGGGAUGGACUCGCGGCUUAUCAGCUUGUUGGUGGGGUAGUGGCUUACCAAGGCUUUGACGGGUAGCCGGCCUGAGAGGGUGACCGGCCACAUUGGGACUGAGAUACGGCCCAGACUCCUACGGGAGGCAGCAGUGGGGAAUAUUGCACAAUGGGCGGAAGCCUGAUGCAGCAACGCCGCGUGCGGGAUGACGGCCUUCGGGUUGUAAACCGCUUUCGCCUGUGACGAAGCGUGAGUGACGGUAAUGGGUAAAGAAGCACCGGCCAACUACGU